UCCUGUUGAUCCUGCAGGAGAUUGCUGCUAUCAGGAUUCGACUAAGCCAUGCAAGUCCAGGGGUUCUUCGGAACACCGGCGAAAUGCUCAGUAACACGUUGAUAAUCUGCCCUUUGGUCUGGGAUAACCUCGGGAAACUGGGGCUAACACCGGAUAGAAAAUUCGUUCUGGAAAGAAUUGUUUUCUAAAGGCAACGCCAAAGGAUGAGUCAGCGGCGGAUUAGGUUGUUGGUGGGGUAAAGGCCCACCAAGCCUACGAUCCGUAGGGGCCUUGAAAGAGGUAGCCCCGAGAAGGGAACUGAGAUACUGUCCCUAGCCCUACGGGGUGCAGCAGGCGCGAAACCUCUACAAUGCACGCAAGUGUGAUAGGGGGAUCCUGAGUGCUCAGCUCUGCUGGGCUUUUGCUAAGAGUAAAAAUCUUGGCGAAUAAGUGGUGGGUAAGACUGGUGCCAGCCGCCGCGGUAACACCAGCGCCACGAGUGGUAAUCGUUAUUAUUGGGCCUAAAGCGUCCGUAGCAGGUCUUGUAAAUCUCUUGUGAAAUUGUUGCGCUCAACGUAACACCGUGCAAGAGACACUGCAAGACUCGGGACCGGGAGGGGUUAGAGGUAUUCCUUGGGGAGCGGUAAAAUGCUAUAAUCCAAGGAGGACCACCUAUGGCGAAGGCAUCUAACCAGAACGGAUCCGACUGUGAGGGACGAAAGCUAGGGGAGCGAACCGGAUUAGAUACCCGAGUAGUCCUAGCCGUAAACGCUGCGAGCUAGGUGUUGCACAAUCUACGGGAUUGUGCAGUAUCGAAGCGAAGGCGAUAAGCUCGCCGCCUGGGAAGUACGGUCGCAAGGCUGAAACUUAAAGGAAUUGGCGGGGGAGCACUACAAGGGGUGCGGCGUGCGGUUUAACCUAACUCCACACAGAGAAUCUCACCAGAAGCGACGGCAGAAUGAAAGUCAGAUUGAAGGUUUUACUUGACGAGCCGAGAGGUGGUGCAUGGCCGCCGUCAGCUCGUGCCGUGAGGUGUCCAGCUAAGCCUGGUAACGAGCGAGACCUGCGUCCACAAUUGCUAACAGGUGCUUUUGCAUGACUGUGCACAUUGUGGAGACUGCCUUGGAAACAAGGAGGAAGGUGCAGGCUACGGUAGGUCUGUAUGCCCCGAAUCUUCUGGGCCACACGCGCGCAACAAUGGUAAGGACAAUGGGCUGCGACUCCGAAAGGAGAAGCUAAUCCUCCAAACCUUAUCCAAGUCCAGAUUGAGGGUUGUAACUCACCCUCAUGACGAUGGAAUCCCUAGUAAUCGGGUAUUAGCAGUGCCCGGUGAAUACGUCCCUGCUCCUUGCACACACCGCCCGUCAAACCACUCGAGCAGGGUUUAGAUGAGGUGCAGUUCUUUGAUUGUAUCGAAUCUAAGCUCAGUGAGAAGGGUUAAGUCGUCACAAGGUA
rnacentral:rRNA from 1 species